rnacentral:rRNA from 1 species
AUGGACCAAUUCAUCCUUUUUUCCCGUGCAUAUGCAUUGGACUCGGAUGACGAUGGUCCCGAUGAAGAAGUUGAUGAGGAGGGGUUCACGCCGAAGGAGGCCCAAGCAUUCAAGAAGGUAUUCGGGCAGGAUCACAAGACACCAUUGUUCAAGGAUCUUAGUCUCGCGGAUGAAGCCGUUAUGGAUGGUGGCAAAUGAAUAUCUCUUGGAGCCAGGCCAAGUUCUCAC